UACAAGUGCGUCGAGCGUUAUCCGGAAUCAUUGGGCGUAAAGGGUGUGUAGGUGGCGCGCUAAGUCGGGUGUGAAAUUUCGGAGCUUAACUCCGAAACUGCAUUCGAUACUGGCGUGCUUGAGGACUGGAGAGGAGACUGGAAUUCAUGGUGUAGCAGUGAAAUGCGUAGAGAUCAUGAGGAAGACCAGUGGCGAAGGCGGGUCUCUGGACAGUUCCUGACACUGAGACACGAAGGCCAGGGGAGCAAACGGG
rnacentral:rRNA from 1 species